AGAGUAUUUCCGGUAUAAAUAAGUGGGUCAUGCAUUUCUCAUAAGCAAAACAACUUUAUCGAAUUCGUCCACAAAUGAAAAGUUUCAUUUGUAUGAAUAUGUGACAAUAAGUGCUUCCUCUGCUGAACAAUUUUCAAGAUGGAGAAACAGUAUUCAGUUGAGUUCUUUAUGAACUUUGUGGAAAACAUUCAGAAUCUAUGUCACAACUUUCUUGAGUUCAAUCAGAAUGUGGAGGUGAGCGGCUAUGUCUGUGUGGACAUCGACAACAUGAAGAAGGAGAGGUAUGUUCUCAGUGAGAUAGUCCAAAUGGGAGGCAACUCCAUCAGCGAGAGCUACUGUACUAAAGUCUUCAAAACCACUCCCACAGGCACUGUGCAGAGGAGUGGAUUCCGGGACAUCACAAACGCUCGAGUCCCCAGUGCAGCAACAAGUUCGGGGGAAGUGAAUGUGCCAGGACAUUCGUAUUCAUCACAAAGGAUGAGGACUGGUCAUCAGAGGAAAAGUGAAACCUCCCACACAUUAUCUUUGAACAUGGCUGUUUCACCAAGGUCACAAACAAAGACAGCCAUUGACCAAUCUUAUAGUGUCUUUCAAGGUCAUAAUGCCAGUUCAAACAGUAAUAGUAGUUUUGUUAACCCCAGUGUGACAGGAAUUCAAGGACGUGAGUCUGGCCCAGGGGAUUCCCAAAAUCGGACGAAGUCAAGACAGUUGACUCCAAAAGUAUGUAGACCAGCAACAGUGCCUGACAGUUCUGUGCUUAAAAGACGGUGUGAACCUUCCCCCCUGUCAGACAGCGCUGAUGAUGCGGAUGUGAUAGUUGUGAAGCAAGAGCCCUGUGACGAGGAGCGGGAGGAGCACGGUGAUCAGCCUCCUGUCAAGCGCCGGAGCGAGACGUUCCGUCUACCUUCAUCACUAACAGGAGGAGCCCUACCAGUCAUCCAACAUCCUCAUCCAGCCCCUAGCUCAAGCAACACCAGAGGUGAGGAUAAGAGUUAUUUCUCUUCAUCCAGCAAGGAAACAAGCAAUUCAACACAUCAUAAAGAUAAGAAACCAGAUUUGUCCGUGGAAGAGAUUCAGAACUUGGAGGACUAUGAAGUAGAGCUUGUUCCGUCAGAUGCGGAAGAGGAGAGCCUGGACCUGACUUUCCAAGUGGCACAUCCAGGAGGAGCUGUACAAUCCAGUGUUAUUGGAGCACAAGAUCCAGGUACUGAUGCAGUCGUCCUCCCUGGUCGACCUGGCAUCUACACACAGCAACAGGCACAGGCCCUGCAGCUGAUAGAGCUGACUCCAGGCUCGAAUGUCUAUGUUAGUCACGUCCAGAUGACAAUAGCAGAAAGGAAGGUGAAGGUUGAGGUCCGGUAUGGUCAGCCUUUCCGUAAUGCCUGUCCGUCUGCACGCUACCUGCUGGGCUUGUUCUACACCCGGCAAGAGCUGGCCAACAGCUCCCUGUCCGACACUCAGUACAGUAAAUUCCGCGGGCUGGAUAAAACAGUGAUUGAUGCCAUCACAGGCUUUUGUUUAAGUAGAAGUGAAUGUCCCAAGGCUGAAAUACGUGGAGUUUUAACACGGUCAAUAACUAGUGCUCGAUGUCAACUCAAACAAAAACUGAUUGCAAGUUUGAAGAAGGACUCUUCUGUAGAGGCGGCCUGGACAUUCUGAAGUACGGGAUGAUUGGGACACCAAGACGAGAUGCCUGGGAACCGAUCCCACGUAAACAGUCAGGCUACCUUACCCUACCCCAGCAGACCCACUGAUUCUGUCUCAUGUUCAGGCACCAGUCAAUGGAGGAUGUGAAGAAUGCUUUGCGAUCGUCCAUUACAUCAUCUUUGCAUUCAAUCAGAGGAAGAGGAAUGGAUUUGUUCCUUUGUGGACCAUCACAGCAAAACAACGUACUUCAUCGUGGACCAUCACAGCAAACACUGUGCUUCAUCAUUGACCAUCACAGCAAACACCGUACUUCAUCAUGGACCAUCACAGCAAACACUGUACUUAAUCAUGGACCAUCACAGCAAACACUGUACUUCAUCAAGGACCAUCACAGCAAACACUGUACUUCAUCAUGGACCAUCACAGCAAACACUGUACUUCAUCGUGGACCAUCACAGCAAACACUGUACUUCAUCAUGGACCAUCACAGCAAACACUGUACUUCAUCAUGGACCAUCACAGCAAACACUGUACUUCAUCAUGGACCAUCACAGCAAACACUGUACUUCAUCGUGGACCAUCACAGCAAACACUGUACUUCAUCAUGGACCAUCACAGCAAACACUGUACUUCAUCAUGGACCAUCACAGCAAACACUGUACUUCAUCAUGGACCAUCACAGCAAACACUGUACUUCAUCGUGAACCAUCACAGCAAACACUGUACUUCAUCAAGGACCAUCACAGCAAACACUGUACUUCAUCAUGGACCAUCACAGCAAACAUUGUGGUCCAUCACAGCAAAACAAUGUGCCCUAUCGUGGUCCAUCACAGUAGAAAAAAUAUGUGCCCCACUGUGGACCAUCACAGCAAAACAAUGUGCCCCACUGUGGACCAUCACAGCAAAACAAUGUGCCCCACUGGGGACCAUCACAGCAAAACAAUGUGCCCCACUGUGGACCAUCACAGCAAAACAAUGUGCCCCACUGUGGACCAUCACAGCAAAACAAUGUGCCCCACUGUGGACCAUCACAGCAAGACAAUGUGCCCCACUGUGGACCAUCACAGCAAAACAAUGUGCCCCACUGUGGACCAUCACAGCAAAACAAUGUGCCCCACUGUGGACCAUCACAGCAAAACAAUGUGCCCCACUGGGGACCAUCACAGCAAAA
rnacentral:misc_RNA from 1 species